rnacentral:rRNA from 1 species
GUGAACCUGCGGAAGGAUCAUCA